UACGUAGGGGGCGAGCGUUGUCCGGAGUUACUGGGCGUAAAGGGCAUGCAGGCGGUCGGACGCGUUUCGGGUGACAGCGGGUGGCUUAACUACCCGAGUGGUCGAAAGACGGUUUGACUUGAGGACGCGAGAGGGACACGGAAUUCCGGGUGGAGUGGUGAAAUUCGUAGAUAUUGGGAAGAACACCGGUGGCGAAGGCGGCGCUCUGGACCGAGACUGACGCUGAGGCGCGAAAGCGUGGGGAGCAAACAGG
rnacentral:rRNA from 1 species